CCUACGGGUGGCUGCAGUAGGGAAUCUUCCACAAUGGACGAAAGUCUGAUGGAGCAACGCCGCGUGAGUGAAGAAGGGUUUCGGCUCGUAAAGCUCUGUUGGUAGUGAAGAAAGAUAGAGGUAGUAACUGGCCUUUAUUUGACGGUAAUUACUUAGAAAGUCACGGCUAACUACGUGCCAGCAGCCGCGGUAAUACGUAGGUGGCAAGCGUUGUCCGGAUUUAUUGGGCGUAAAGCGAGUGCAGGCGGUUAAAUAAGUCUGAUGUGAAAGCCUUCGGCUCCACCGGAGAAUUGCAUCAGAAACUGUUGAACUGGAGUGCAGAAGAGGAGAGUGGAACUCCAUGUGUAGCGGUGGAAUGCGUAGAUAUUAGGAGGAACACCAGUGGCGAAGGCGGCUUGCUGGGCUUUGACUGACGCUGAGGCUCGAAAGCGUGGGGAGCAAACAGGAUUAGAUACCCGGGUAGUC
rnacentral:rRNA from 1 species